rnacentral:rRNA from 1 species
UGGGGAAUAUUGGACAAUGGGCGAAAGCCUGAUCCAGCCAUGCCGCGUGAGUGAUGAAGGCCUUAGGGUUGUAAUGCUCUUUUGGCGGGGACGAUAAUGACGGUACCCGCAGAAUAAGCCCCGGCUAACUUCGUGCCAGCAGCCGCGGUAAUACGAAGGGGGCUAGCGUUGUUCGGAAUUACUGGGCGUAAAGCGCACGUAGGCGGAUCAGCAAGUCAGGGGUGAAAUCCCGGGGCUCAACCUCGGAACUGCCUCUGAUACUGAUAGUCUCGAGUCCGGAAGAGGUGGGUGGAAUUCCUAGUGUAGAGGUGAAAUUCGUAGAUAUUAGGAAGAACACCGGUGGCGAAGGCGGCCCACUGGUCCGGUACUGACGCUGAGGUGCGAAAGCGUGGGGAGCAAACAGGAUUAGAUACCCCCGUAGUCCCUGAGCGGGCUGGCAAGGCGCAU